rnacentral:lncRNA from 1 species
UACAAACCUGACUCAGUUACACCAGCUCUGUCAGGAGGAAUGGGUCAAAAUUCACCCUACUUAUUUUUGGAAGCUUGUGGAAGGCUACCUGAAACAUUUAACCCAAGUUAAACAAUUUAAAGGCAAUGCUAAAAAAUACUAAUUGAGUGUAUGUAAACUUCUGACCUGGGAAUGUGAUGAAAGAAAUAAAAUCUGAAAUAAAUUCUCUCUACUAUUAUUCUGACAUUUCACAUUCCUAAAAUAAAGUGGUGAUCCUAACCGAUCUAAGAAAGGGAAUUUUUAAUGGGAUUAAAUUUCAGGAAUUAGUGAAAAACUGAGUUUAAAUGUAUUUUGCUAAGGUGUAUGUAAACUUCCGACUUCAACUGUAUGUUUUAAAUGACGAUCUGUUGUUGUCCUCAGGGAGAGCUGAAGAAGUCCUCUCCGGGAUCGCUUGUCAACGCAGAACACAGAGGACUAUCUCCCAAAGUAAUCACAGGCUUUAUGAGUCUAAUGUGUAAAUACCGGUCAGGUUAUUAAUGUUGUUGUCCUCGGGGAGAGAAGACCUCAGGCUUUAUGAGUCUAAUGUGUAAUUACUGGUCAGGUUAUUAAUGUUGUUGUCCUCGGGGAGAGAAGACCUCAGGCUUUAUGAGUCUAAUGUGCAAUUACUGGUCAGGUUAUUAAUGUUGUUUUCCUCGGGGAGAGAAGACCUCAGGCUUUAUGAGUCUAAUGUGCAAUUACUGGUCAGGUUAUUAAUGUGGGAAUGUUGUCCUCGGGGAGAGAAGACCUCAGGCUUUAUGAGUCUGUGUAGUUACUGGUCAGGUUAUUAAUGUUGUUCUCCUCAGGGGAGAAAAGACCUCAGGCUUUGAGUCUAAUGUGUAAUUACUGGUCAGGUUAUUAAUGUUGUUGUCCACAGGCUUUGAGUCUAAUGUGUAAUUACUGGUCAGGUUAUUAAUGUUGUUGUCCACAGGCUUUGAGUCUAAUGUGUAAUUACUGGUCAGGUUAUUAAUGUUGUUGUCCACAGGCUUUGAGUCUAAUGUGUAAUUACUGGUCAGGUUAUUAAUGUUGUUGUCCU